ACGGAAGGCAGCAGUGGGGAAUAUUGCACAAUGGGGGAAACCCUGAUGCAGCGACGCCGCGUGAGUGAAGAAGUAUUUCGGUAUGUAAAGCUCUAUCAGCAGGAAAGAAAAUGACGGUACCUGACUAAGAAGCCCCGGCUAACUACGUGCCAGCAGCCGCGGUAAUACGUAGGGGGCAAGCGUUAUCCGGAUUUACUGGGUGUAAAGGGAGCGUAGACGGCUUUGCAAGUCUGAAGUGAAAGCCCGGGGCUCAACCCCGGAACUGCUUUGGAAACUGUAGAGCUAGAGUGCAGUAGAGGUAAGUGGAAUUCCUAGUGUAGCGGUGAAAUGCGUAGAUAUUAGGAGGAACACCAGUGGCGAAGGCGGCUUACUGGACUGUAACUGACGUUGAGGCUCGAAGGCGUGGGGAGCAAACAGGAUUAGAUACCCUGGUA
rnacentral:rRNA from 1 species